rnacentral:rRNA from 1 species
CCCUAGAGGAGCCUGUUCCAUAAUCGAUAAACCCCGAUCCACCUCACCCUCUCUUGCUUAGCCUAUAUACCGCCAUCUUCAGCAAACCCUGAUAAAGGUUACAAAGUGAGCACAAACGCCCUGCCGCCGCAAAAACGUUAGGUCAAGGUGUAGCCAAUGAAAGGGUAAAAAUGGGCUACAUUUUCUACAUCAGAAAACUCCACGAAAACUCUUAUGAAAUCUGAGAGUCCAAGGAGGAUUUAGCAGUAAAUUAAGAAUAGAGUGCUUAAUUGAACCAGGCCAUAAAGCGCGUACACACCGCCCGUCACUCCCCUCAAAUAUAUUUAAGGAACAUCCUAACUAAACGCCCUAAUAUUUAUAUAGAGGGGAUAAGUCGUAACAUGGUAAGUGUACUGGAAAGUGCACUUGGAC